rnacentral:rRNA from 1 species
AUGGCGGCCAUGUGGUCUCCGAUCAUCGGACUCCUCCUGCUCCUGCUGCAACUAGCGCCGUCCUCUUCCUCCUACAUCCAGUUGCCGCUGGAAGGCAGCGUCCACCCUGUUGGUUACUUCUAUGUCACGAUGAACAUUGGUGGGAAGCCCUACUCACUGGACAUCGACACUGGCAGCAAUCUCACGUGGCUGGAGUGCAAGUACCCGGGCCACCAGUGCAAUACCUGCAAGGGACCCCAUCGACCAUAUGAGCCAAAUAGACAUCACAAGAAGGUGAUGUGUGGAGAUCAGUUUUGUACUGAUCUCCACAAAGACCUACCUCAUUAUCCGGAACCUCGAUGUUACACUCAACAUCCACACGAAUGUCACUACCAUAUUCAGUAUGUUGGCGGGACGUCAUCGGAAGGGUUCAUCGUCAACGACACGGUGUCUGUCGAUGUGCUCUCUCCCUCUCUUCCUUCCAGGAGAGUACAAAUUUUCUUCGGGUUCGGAUGUGGAUGUAACCAGAAACCACUGAAAGAUUCACCCGUAGAUGGCGUCCUUGGUCUUGGGAUGGGAAAGGUAGGUUUUGUCGCGCAAUUGAAGGCGCAUAACGUGAUCCGCAAGGAUAUCAUUGGGCACUGUCUCAGCAUCGAUGGAGGGGGCUACCUCUUCGUCGGGGAGCAUCACUUACCCGACCACAUAACCUGGGCCCCCAUGAGAAAAUACAGCCAUUACUACACACCUGGCCCAGCACAGCUGUUACUUGGCGGAGAGAAGAUAGGCAGUCAGAAAAUGGUGGUCUUUGACAGUGGUACCACAUAA